rnacentral:rRNA from 1 species
AACGAACGCUGGCGGCAGGCCUAACACAUGCAAGUCGAGCGCGCCCUUCGGGGUGAGCGGCGGACGGGUGAGUAACGCGUGGGAACGUGCCCUUUUCUACGGAAUAGCCUCGGGAAACUGAGAGUAAUACCGUAUACGCCCUUUGGGGGAAAGAUUUAUCGGAAAAGGAUCGGCCCGCGUUGGAUUAGGUAGUUGGUGGGGUAAUGGCCUACCAAGCCGACGAUCCAUAGCUGGUUUGAGAGGAUGAUCAGCCACACUGGGACUGAGACACGGCCCAGACUCCUACGGGAGGCAGCAGUGGGGAAUCUUAGACAAUGGGGGCAACCCUGAUCUAGCCAUGCCGCGUAAGUGAUGAAGGCCUUAGGGUUGUAAAGCUCUUUCAGCUGGGAAGAUAAUGACGGUACCAGCAGAAGAAGCCCCGGCUAACUCCGUG